rnacentral:lncRNA from 1 species
UAGUGUUAUUAAACAUAGGUCAGAUAUGAACCUAGUGUAUGAAACAUAGGUUGGACAUGAAUGACAACGAACCUAGGUUAUUAAACCUAGGUCAGAUAUGAACCUAGUGUCGUAGGUUAUUAAACCUAGGUCAGAUAUGAAACAUCGGUUAUGAAACCUAGGUCAGAUAUGAAACAUAGGUUAUUAAACCUAGGUCAGAUAUGAACCUAGUGUCGUAAACCUAGGAUGGAUACGAAGGACAUAUGAACCUAAUGUUAGUAAACUUAGGUCGAGUAAUGGCUUGAACCUAGAAAGGUUGACAUAGGGUUAGACCAACCCUAGAGAUGUUGAAAGUGGAUUCCGGAAUCCCAGGUCUUGUGGCCUUUGUGAACAUGGUAUGCUCAUGGUUGUGGAUUGGAUCAUACUCACCUAUAAGUCCGAUACUUGAGGGCGGUCGCUCCCCCUCGAGCGAUGAGCUCCGCAGUGAUCAUCACUGGGUUGGAGUUUCCCUAGAGGUUGAGCCUGUCGAGUCGUAG